rnacentral:ncRNA from 1 species
CUUAUCAAGAGCGGCUGAGGGAACAGGCCCUGUGAAGCCCGACAACCUGCAUUUUCUGCAAGGUGCCAAAUCCUGCGGGUAACACCGGAAGAUAAG